CCCUUAUAUAAUGUUUCCACCCAUGAUAUGAAUGAUUCAUUAAAACCAAAAUGUUUUAGAACACCUAACAUAAAUUCCCAUUCCAAAGAAUCAAAAGCUUUUGUAAAAUCAACAAAUAUUAUAGCCCCAUCUAUUCCGUUUGAUUCUGCAUAGUCCAUUAUAUCUUGAAUUUGCCGUAAAUUAAAUCCAAUAAAUCGAUUUUUUACAUAUCCAGUUUGAUCUUCAUUAAUUAAUUUAGGAAGAAGUUUUUUUAGUCUCUGUGCUAAAACAUGAGAUAGUAUUUUCAAAUCUACAUUUAAUAAUGAUAUUGGACGAUAAUUGUCUAAAGAUAAU
rnacentral:lncRNA from 1 species